UAGGGAAUCUUCGGCAAUGGACGGAAGUCUGACCGAGCAACGCCGCGUGAGUGAAGAAGGUUUUCGGAUCGUAAAGCUCUGUUGUAAGAGAAGAACGAGUGUGAGAGUGGAAAGUUCACACUGUGACGGUAUCUUACCAGAAAGGGACGGCUAACUACGUGCCAGCAGCCGCGGUAAUACGUAGGUCCCGAGCGUUGUCCGGAUUUAUUGGGCGUAAAGCGCGCGCAGGUGGUUUAAUAAGUCUGAUGUGAAAGCCCACGGCUCAACCGUGGAGGGUCAUUGGAAACUGUUAAACUUGAGUGCAGGAGAGAAAAGUGGAAUUCCUAGUGUAGCGGUGAAAUGCGUAGAGAUUAGGAGGAACACCAGUGGCGAAGGCGGCUUUUUGGCCUGUAACUGACACUGAGGCGCGAAAGCGUGGGGAGCAAACAGGAUUAGAUACCCUGGUAGUCCACGCCGUAAACGAUGAGUGCUAAGUGUUGGUCUCAUAAGAGAUCAGUGCUGCAGCUAACGCAUUAAGCACUCCGCCUGGGGAGUACGACCGCAAGGUUG
rnacentral:rRNA from 1 species